rnacentral:rRNA from 1 species
CAGCACCUCAAGUGGUCAGGAUGAUUAUUGGGCCUAAAGCAUCCGUAGCCGGCGCUGUAAGUUUUCGGUUAAAUCUGUACGCUCAACGUGCAGGCUGCCGGGAAUACUGCAGCGCUAGGGAGUGGGAGAGGUAGACGGUACUCGGUAGGAAGGGGUAAAAUCCUUUGAUCUAUUGAUGACCACCUGUGGCGAAGGCGGUCUACCAGAACACGUCCGACGGUGAGGGAUGAAAGCUGGGGGAGCAAACCGGAUUAGAGACCCGAGUAGUCC